UGGGGGAAACCCUGAUGGUGCGACGCCGCGUGGGGGAUAAGGUCUUCGGAUUGUAAACCCCUGUCAUGUGGGACAUUAAAAGAUAGUACCACAAGAGGAAGAGACGGCUAACUCUGUGCCAGCAGCCGCGGUAAUACAGAGGUCUCAAGCGUUGUUCGGAAUCACUGGGCGUAAAGUGUGCGUAGGCGGUUUCGUAAGUCGUGUGUGAAAGGCGGGGGCUCAACCCCCGGACUGCACAUGAUACUGCGAGACUAGAGUAAUGGAGGGGGAACCGGAAUUCUCGGUGUAGCAGUGAAAUGCGUAGAUAUCGAGAGGAACACUCGUGGCGAAGGCGG
rnacentral:rRNA from 1 species